rnacentral:rRNA from 1 species
GACGAACGCUGGCGGCGCGCCUAACACAUGCAAGUCGAACGGAGCUUAGAGAGCUUGCUUUUUAAGCUUAGUGGCGAACGGGUGAGUAACGCGUGAGUAACCUGCCCUAGAGUGGGGGACAACAGUUGGAAACGACUGCUAAUACCGCAUAAGCCCACGGUGCCGCAUGGUACUGAGGGAAAAGGAUUUAUUCGCUUUAGGAUGGACUCGCGUCCAAUUAGCUAGUUGGUGAGGUAACGGCCCACCAAGGCGACGAUUGGUAGCCGGACUGAGAGGUUGAACGGCCACAUUGGGACUGAGACACGGCCCAGACUCCUACGGGAGGCAGCAGUGGGGGAUAUUGCACAAUGGGGGAAACCCUGAUGCAGCGACGCCGCGUGGAGGAAGAAGGUUUUCGGAUUGUAAACUCCUGUCGUUAGGG